rnacentral:lncRNA from 1 species
ACCGGCCGAGGGCGCCCGCGCAGCCCCCUGGCUCCUCCCCCGGGCUGGCAGAGCGGGCCCCGCCCCCUGGGCCAUCCAAUCCGCUGUCGGCUGGGCCGCGUGACGUCAUCCGGCCCCGCCCCGCCCUGCACGUCCGGCGUCUGCGGAUCCCUGGCUUUUUUUUUCUUCAGGUACUGCACAAAAAUCCUCAUCAAAACUGAGUUAAAAACAGCAACUCUUUGCCCUCAUAUUUCUGUCAGCUGCUCACCUGGGAGUGACUCUGGUCUCGCCUGCAAGCACUCAUCUGUUCAAGUCAUCUGUCAUGGGACAGCUUACCUGAGGCCAAACGUCUAAGAAGAUAGCAAAACAAGACAGAAAAACAACUCCGAAUGGCAGUUUUUGAACAAUUCACUGGAAGUUGUGGAACAGAAGGUAGUGAAUUUGGAUUAAUCAGGUAAACUGUAGAAUUACUCUACAGAAUGUCAAGACACACACCAUUGCCUUCUUAUCUAAAAACAAAGAGGUAAUAAUAGCCCUCGAGUUGGACAGUCAGUUCAGGAAUCCCAGGCACUUGCAUUCUGGACGCCAUUAGAAGCUGAAGCCCAAAGAAGUGCAGUGUACAGCCCACGUCCUGAGUGGGAGAGGAGCCGCGUGCUGCUUCUUCCCUGCCUCGUGGAUGAGCAGGCGAUCCAGGCAGACCCCAGCACAAGCCCCAUCUGAAAAACACAAAGAUGCCAACUUUCAUUAUCUUCAUUCAUCUUCUUUAUUUUCUCAAUAAUGUUGUAGGAUUGCUUCAGUUAGGCCAGGCACAUUUCUUGUUAAGGCUACUCAUAUAUAUUUUAUGCCCUUUUGUACUUCGUGAAUGGAGUGUUUCUUUCUUUCCAUCAUGUUUUCUCACCGGUUAUUUGGGGAUGUAGUGAAAGCUGAG